CCGGGAAGUUUGAUUGCAAAUCUGAAUCUUAAAGGAAUUGUCGGAAGGGCACCACCAGGAGUGGAGCUUGCGGCUUAAUUUGACUCACCACGGGAAACCUCACCCGGCCAGUACAUCAUAAGGAUUGACAGAUUGAAAGCUCUUUCAUGAUUUGAUGAAUGGUGGUGCAUGGCCGUUCUUAGUUCGUGGUUUGAACUGUCUGCUUAAUUGCGAUAACGAGCGAGACUCCGACUGCUAAAUACGUGUGAAGUUUUAUUGCUUCACAUGUUCUUAGCUGGAUUUGUGACUCAAAGUCUCAAGAAAUGGAGCAAUAACAGGUCUGUGAUGCCCUUAGAUGUUC
rnacentral:rRNA from 1 species